rnacentral:lncRNA from 10 species
GACGGAUGCUCCUGGGUGACAUAUCACGGAUCUCUCUGAGGUAAGACGUGCCUUUUGCCUUCCACCUUCUGCCGUGAUUGUGAGGACCCGCCAGCCACGUGGAACUAGCCCUAGAUUUGAAAAAAGAUGCUUCUGUGGUUCCAGGCAAGAUGGCUGACUAGGAACAGCUCCGGUCUGCAGCUCCCAGCGAGACCAACACAGAAGGCCGUCAUCCUUAAGCCAUAAAAUGCCCUGUAGAGGUGGAACAGGUCAGAAGACUGAAUGCUCAAGCUGCAUGUGGAGUUAACAUGGCAAUAACACAGAAUGUGAUGACAGCAGACUCUAGAAUCUCAUGACAUCAGUUUAUAUUAGAACUGUUCUGUAGCUCACCUUUCUCCGAAGUUGGAAUUCACAUGGCUGUGGAAUGUGUUUCUACCUUCACUGUUGGAGGAGUCAUCCAACAAAUCCAGGGGUGGGAAAACAGCUGGAUAAGGACAAUAACAUAUAUGACAGCUGUACAAUCCUUUACCUUGGACCAUCUCUCUCACCUUGGACCAUCUCUCUCACCAGCUGCCUUCCACACCCCUGUACUACUAACUCCUUCUUCUUUCACUUGAACAUUCUUUACCCCAGAUUUUUGCAUCCUUCAGUGAUACGGAAAAGCAAAUGUUAGAGACUUUGGCCUAAAGAUACAUUGAGAAGGGAAAAAAAGUUUAAUAAGUAGCAAAUGUCAUUGCCACCACAAAGGAAACAAGCAUCGUUCACCUUGGCAGUAAAGUAUGCCAU